GCAAACUUGGUCAUUUAGAGGAAGUAAAAGUCGUAACAAGGUUUCCGUAGGUGAACCUGCGGAAGGAUCAUCAAUGUAGUUUUUAUACAUAGGUUGAAUGUGGUGGCGGGGAUAAAUUUUGAUCCCCCCUUGCUUUCACUUAUGGAUAAAAUUUUGGCCUAUCUAUAAUUUAUUAAACGUGAUGUUUGAUAAAAUGUGUUAAUAAUUCAGUUUAUAUUUUAAAAAAUAAAUUUAUUGAUACAACUAUCAACGAUGGAUCUCUUGGCUCUUGCAUCGAUGAAGAACGCAGC
rnacentral:misc_RNA from 1 species